UAACCGAAGUAUAAAAAAAAUUUGACAUUAAAUUAAUUUUUCUGGCAACAAUAGCUUUUUUGGUAACAGGUUUGAGUUUUAAAUGUAAGUUUCAAAGAAAUGAACAACAAUAAAUAAAUGUGUUUAAAGGCCAGCAGUUGAAAUUCGGUUACAACGCACAAAAGACAAAAAAUCAUUUGCAGGUCAAGCAAGAGCCGCCCAAACGCCCUGGGGGAUUUUCGGCGAAAACAUGUUGGUGGAUCUGUCACAAAAUUUCAUAUUUCACUUUAUUUGUGUCAGUUGACAAAUGUUUGAAAUUGACAGCCGUAAGAAUAAAACGAAAUAAAGCGAAAAGUGGGUGGGGAACAGAAAUUCCAAAUUUUAUAUGACUAAAAACAGAUCUAAAAAGUAUUUAAAAAAUCUCUGUUGCGAAAAAAUUUAAAGUAAUAGAAACCGUUUGUCUUGGUUAAAACCACUUAGAAAUUAUAGUGCACAAAGUAAGAAGAAAACUCUAUGCGGUUGGUGUAUGUCAACAUUUAUUGAUGUGCUUCGCAGAAGGUUGAAAAUUCCCAUUCACAUAGAAAUCUCUUUUCAUCAUGGGGCAGGUCAGUGAAAAUGUUGGACAUGUCCAAGGAGGCAGAGAGAAAUCAAACAAAUUGCUGUGGAUGUACUACAAUUGAAACCGUUAGCUCGGCGGCGUUGUGGGCGUGGCCCCCUAACAAUGCUCAGUUGUAUAAAAAAAAAUACAAAAAUGCAACAGAUACAGAUCUGCGCUUUAUGGAAACUCACUGAAGUGCAUCAGCACGGGAGUGGCGAGCGUAAGAGCAAACGUGCUGUGAUUUAAUUUUUCUGUGACGGUCGGCGGCAAACAAAAUAAUACCAACAUAAGGGGCAGCAGGAAAAUGUGGGGGGAAAAAUUCAAUUAAAAUGCACAAAAGCCUCUCGUCUCGCCUGACCUCUCGUUUUGCUCCUUUCCGUUCCGAGGACAAGCAAUUAUCGUUGUUGCUGCUCACCUCCAGACGAUUUCAAAUGCAGACGAAGGAGAUAGCUUGACGAUGCCGCAAAUCGCGAAAUUCCAUUUUCCCCUACUCCCCCCCUUAUCUAACACAUGGCAAACGAGAAAUUUUCAUAACAACAACCGAAUAUUUUUUCGCAUAAACAUGCAAAUUUCUCACUUAAACCCAGAACUCAUCCCCCCGUUGCACUCAUCAUCUCGAUGAGUAAUUUGCAUCAUUUGUUCAUGAACUUCGCAGUUGACGAGAACAACAAACUGUCAUACAAAGCUUUGCCAUUGUUCAAGGAAAUUUUCGCAAAACGAUAAAGGGACGGUGAAAGAAGCACCAGACUAUUGCCCGUCAAGUGACUGACUAACAAGUUUCGUUUACAGCGC